rnacentral:tRNA from 1 species
AGCUCAGCUGGUUAGAGCGCCGGAUUGUGGUUCCGGAGGUCGCCGGUUCGAAACCGGUCU